AUCAAAUUAGUAGAAGUAAUGCAAUUGAUUUAGGAUCAAUAGAUACAGGUGAAAUUCCUUUAUUUGAUA
rnacentral:tRNA from 1 species